rnacentral:tRNA from 1 species
GCCGGUGUAGCUCAAUGGUAGAGCACGCGCUUCGUAAGCGUGGGGUUGGGGGUUCGAUUCCCUUCACCGGCU